rnacentral:rRNA from 1 species
UACGUAGGCAGCGAGCGUUGUUCGGAGUUACUGGGCGUAAAGAGUGUGUAGGCGGCGGCCUAAGUACCUUGUGAAAUCCCACGGCUCACCCGUGGAACUGCUCGGUAUACUGGGUCGCUUGAGCCACUUAGGGGCUACCGGAACAAAUGGUGGAGCGGUGAAAUGCGUAGAUAUCAUUUGGAACGCCAAUGGUGAAAACAGGUAGCUGGGAGUGUGCUGACGCUGAGACACGAAAGCCAGGGGAGCAAACGGG